ACGGGAGGCAGCAGUGGGGAAUAUUGCACAAUGGGGGAAACCCUGAUGCAGCGACGCCGCGUGAGUGAAGAAGUAUUUCGGUAUGUAAAGCUCUAUCAGCAGGGAAGAAAAUGACGGUACCUGACUAAGAAGCCCCGGCUAACUACGUGCCAGCAGCCGCGGUAAUACGUAGGGGGCAAGCGUUAUCCGGAUUUACUGGGUGUAAAGGGAGCGUAGGUGGCAAGGCAAGUCAGAAGUGAAAACCCGAGGCUUAACUUCGGGAUUGCUUUUGAAACUGUUUAGCUUGAGUGCAGGAGGGGUAAGCGGAAUUCCUAGUGUAGCGGUGAAAUGCGUAGAUAUUAGGAAGAACACCGGUGGCGAAGGCGGCUUACUGGACUGUAACUGACACUGAGGCUCGAAAGCGUGGGGAGCAAACAGGAUUAGAUACCCUGGUA
rnacentral:rRNA from 2 species